rnacentral:lncRNA from 12 species
CCCCAAAUCUUUUGCUCAUGGCAGCCAUCUUUACAGACUCAGAAACUUGAUUAUUUUUCACUAGUUCUAAACUAACUUAAAUCUAACUUUACGUUUUAGAAUGCUCUGAGUUUUGUAAAACUGUUCUUUUUACGUGAGCGCUCUCGCCUCCUUCUGGAUGGCUUCGUGUAGUCUAACCUUGAUGUUAGUCACAGAAUUCCAGGAUAGGAGGAAGUAAUAGCGCCACAAGCCAGUGACCAGACUAUCCACAUCUGGAUUUCACAAUUGCAAUUCCAUCGAUCCCAAUAUAAGUUGACUAAGGAACACUAUGUCAUGGAAGCCAACAUACUCGCUGCCUGGGAAGAGUGAAGUACAUUCUGAGUACAAACUAUUCUAGUCUCCGACUAAAUAUAUAUUUGACCGAUGAUGAGCCUAUCUUCAGUGUCAUUAGGCUUUUAAACUAAUAUCUGCACAUGUGUUCACAAUUUUCACAUUGUGGCUGAUUGCUGUGUUUUAGGUAAACAUACAAUAUAUAGGAUAGAGAGUACCCCGAGUAGAGGGCAGACCCCAGUAGUCCACUACGUUAUCCACUCCCCCCCCCCACCCCACUGGGAGAAUUCCAGUUUUGUCCAGGAUGGCAAAGUGCCUGAGUAAAAAUACUUAAUGUCUCAGCCUCCCUUAUGGUUAGGGUUGGUCAUGUGAUACAGUUCUGGCAAAUGUUUGUGGGGUUUUUGUUAUUUUGGGAUUUCUCUCUCUCUCUCUCUCUCUCUGUAAAAAUAUUUUAAUAUUUUCCUGACCUUUCCGCAUCAAAAGUAAAAACUUAGUUAAGAUAAAGAGCUUUUCCUCUCUUCUGUCUCUCCUUGUUCCUGGCUGGACUUACGAGAACCUGGAAGUAAAGCUUAUAUCAAGCAACCAUGAGAACUUGUGACGAGCUAUCAGUUUGAACAAGCAGGUGCAAGGGUUGGACUGAACAAAACAUCUUCAACAUAGAGUCACCCUUAGAAUCCUCGAAAGUGGGUUCCAUCUCUGGAAAUCAGAAGAUUCAAGAAGUAUUGGAAAUUGGGACUUAUGUUCCAAAAUUCAAAGGAUUAACAAUUAUUCUGGAGUCUUCAAAAGCGUUGUAAAUGAAUGUACCCUGAUAAACUUGAGUAACAUCAAAUAUUGCAUAUUGCUCAUCCCAGCAAAAAACAGCAACAAAAAAGAAUGCUUUAUGGUGGCCCUGUGUAGGGAGCACCCACAUUCGCGAGUGUCUUCAUUCUAA